UUAGUAAUUUUUUUGUUUUGAAAUUUUCCCUUUUAAUUUUUUUUAACUAUGAAGAAAUCAUCCGCGCCCAGCCGCGCAAAUCGCGAGCUACGGACCAUGGCUGACUCCGCGAUGGCAGCUAGAAGGCAACUCCCCUGUUUUGUCAGGGGUUCGACCUCCCAGCGAUGCACAUAUUCAGCUAGAUUCGAGAUCCAGCAACUACUGGUGGACGAAUUGUCCAUCAGUAUGUUUUUCGGCAGUCCGAGAUCCACCCAUUAGAAGAAGCAGCUUCUUUCCAUUCUACAGUUCGGCAUUUUUAACACCACACCUGGAAGACUCGGGUGAUAUGGUUUCUAUUUCUAUUCCCCCCCUUUUUUAAAGACAAACCAGCGAUAAGUGACUAUCCACUUAAUCCACUGAUAUGGUAAACUAAUCAGCGACAAAUUUAAUGUAGUAGAACCUUGCAAGUUGUAAUAAUGUAUCAAUACAAUGUACUUUGUUUUAAAUAAUCGCGGGCCGGCCCCUUUUCAUUUUCUUUUGUUUUUUUUUAAAUCUUUGAAACUUGUUAAAACCUUUUGUAUGUAAAGUAAUGGAAACAAGAUAAUUCAUCAGGGCAAAUAAAACAGGGAAACUAUAGAUCAAGAUAAUCGUGUAGUUUUUAUUUAUUGAUUUUAACGAUCCACCAACUUCCUCCUUGCUUGUUACAGGAAGUUCCUAAAUUUUGUUUGUUCCCCACCUCGUGCCGCCUCUGGUAAAUCAAUUUAUUUAACUUAUUUUUUUUAUCCAGCAAGUUUCCAAGGCUCUUUUUAAUUAAUUCAAAAUAAUUCAAUUUUGAGGCACGAGGGGUGUUACAAAUUGGUAGCAGAGCAUGGUUUCUUAUAAAAAUGGUAGCAGUUAGCAUGAUUUGAUCUUUGCUACAAGUUGGUAGCAUAGAGCAAUUUUCUGCUUCAUGUUGGAAGUUGGUAGUGUUUAACGUGGUUUGGUUUAUAUGCAUAUCCAAAUAAUUUUAAUUUUUAAUUUGAAAUUUCAAUUUUAAAUUUGAAACAUAAUGUAAUAUAUAACUAUAUGGUUUUUCGAGUUUAUUUAGACUCAGAUUGUAUGACAUAUUGUUGUAAGUCCUAAAACUGGCACCCAACCUGAUUCACCCAAAGUGAUUUAAAUUAAAAUUUUGUCGUAUUUUAUGUCCCGCUCUGAUUGUGUUUGCAUGCGGUGAGACACCGCGCAGCCCCGUCGGUGCGACGGCCCUCAGGCAUCGUGCCUUAUCAGGAGCGCGUGUCAUUCUCCCUGUCAUCCUCUUCACCCCUCCCCUCCACGCCUCACCGGCUGGAGGAGGCAAGGUCAUGUCGUUGCCCCCGUGUCCGGCAGCGAAACAAUGCGUUGCCAUCUUGUUUGUUCCUCACGGCCGACAGUGCCCUGAGUUUGUCUAAAUUCCUCCUUUUAUCUGUGUUUUUUUUAUAACACAUCCGCCUGCAAACCAGGCAAUCUUUGUAAAAAAAAAAAAACUCAUCAUAGAAGUCCUUUCGGACAUCGGGGUAUCUUUGUUUUGUCUCUCGGCAUCUUGCGCGCGCCGACAUGUUAUCUCUUCACCACAUGACAGGGCCGCCAACCGCGUGGAACUCUUUUCUACUCCAUCCACGUACCACGUGUUUUGUAAACAAACUACCCAUGCUUUGUAUGUCCUAAUAAUAUAAUUUUAUGUCACAAAACAAGCACUAUAAAUAAUCUAUACUGCAUUAAUUCUAGCAGCAAAGUAUUUUCUUAAUCUAGGGAAACGUAAAUUAUAACAUAAUAUGCUUAUAUAACUUAAAAUAAUAUUAACAAUACAAAUAAUAUGAUAAUAUAAAUAUUUUGUUUUAGCCAAUGCUAAGAAACUCCCAUUGUUAACAUCUUCUAAGUAUCUUAAAAUUAACGAUUAAGUAUUUUAAUAAUACAUAAAAUAAAUCUAAAAAAGGGUCCAUUCUUAAGUAACAUAAAAUAAGAAUAUGCUCAUAAGUAAUUUUAACAAGUACUCUAAUCCAAUUGCAUCGUUCACAAGCAAAGUGAAUAUACUUCGACGUACCAUUUCAUUGUAUCACCAUACACACCCAUGUGCCUAGCUUUUGUUUAGAUUUAUUUUGUGAUCACCCAACGAGAGGUGCAAUCACUCAUGCCUUUAAGGAAAGGUUACUGAAUUAAAUUGUUUAUAUACACGGGUCGAAUCCCCAAUACUUUUUACGCUACUCAUGAGGUGAGGAAUUUAUUGUAAGAUAGAGUACUAUACCUUUUUUUUAACGUCGAGUUUUCUAUGAGCAAUUUACCAAUUAAUCUAAGAAUGCAAGGUAAAGGAUAAAAAAUAUUUUUGUAAUUAUGAAUUUUGAGUAAACAAUUUAUUAACUUUUAUAUUUUUUUGGAUCGGUGUUAAUUUCCUUUAUAAGGUGGUGUACAGUUAUGUAUUUAAAACAUCUAAAAAUUUUUAUAAUCCAUUUUCAUCCAAAUUUGUUGAUCUUUCGGGUUUCAAACCCGAACUAACUCAGGGGUGAAAUUCCCUCGUAGGUCUCUCUGCUUCAGCCUGAUGGUCUGAUCAACCGUCAGAGCUUGAACAUAUUGAGCCUAUGUGAGUUAAGAAAUGUAGGUCCGGGACAGAGGUGUACUUCGCUUUUUAAGCAAGUCAUAAAUUCAUAUCAUUCGUCUGAUCCAUCGUCAGAUUGUGCAGAGCUAUGACUCAAUGCCUUCGACUUCUUAUGGACAGCGAAACAAUUAUGUACAGGGGUUAUAUUCCCAAAUUUAGUUUGUAAGUUACGGGUUACCAUACCCAUUUACAGGGGUUACAAUCCCCAUUAGUCACUGAGUGCUCAAGGACGCAUUUCCCUUGUUUCGGCCUCAGUAAUUUCGGCCUCCCUCACAGCGCCCAUUUUGUGUUCCUACACGAUAUCAAAUAUCUGAGAUCAACAGGAUGAAUUUCAUUUCAUAAUAUAGCAAAGACAUAAAUAGUUGUAAGCAUACAGGUACUUUAAAUUUAAGCUUUGAAUUUAAUAUUUUUUAUUUAUUAAAUGAUUUUAAGGAUUUAUUUUAAAUAAUUCAAACCAAGUUUAAAUGGACUCUUUUUAAUUAUCAACCUUGUCUUGGACUUAUAAAGUGUUACAGUCAAAGGUCAUGUAAUUAAUUCUGCUUUAUUACAAGUAGUAGGGCAACAGGCAUCCUUUUUUUGCUCGAUAAUAAUAAUAUAAUCACGCAUAUAAAAAUAAGUUUUUCCCCGAAAUUAAGCAGCUACGAGGUAGCUAGUCUUAUUUUAAUAUUUAUGGUAAUCACCGAGAGUGGUGAAAUACUUUCAACCCCCAACGAGAGGUCCACUUAAUUAAUUUGGGUAUGUUUGAGCAUCCCGUUUCUAGGCUAGCACAAGCUAGGUAAUUUAAGAUAUUUUAAUUUUUUUAAUUUUUACAUACGUAAGUUCAGUCUUUAAAAAGCUACUUGACGUAAAUAGUUUUAAUUUUUUUACUCAGAAUACCUCUCUGAUAUUUUUUGAAUCUUCAUGAAUCUUGUUCCACGAUUUCAUAUAUUUAAUUUCUGAUUACGUUCCUUUUUUUAAUAACCAUAAUUCGUAAAGUAAUCAAGAAUAAUGUUUGUAGUGUUUUUUUUGUACUGAUUUUGCGUUAAUACUUGUACAUGUUUAUUUCUUUAUUUUCCCUUGCACGUAAAUGUGAUGUACAGUGACGUGCAUAGAGUCUGAGCACUGGAGCUGUCACAUCUAGCCCGUUUUUCUUUUUUCUUUUGCAUUCUACCCCAAGGUUGUAUUUGUUUUACAUCGUUAUCGAUGAGAUUGUUUAUUUAAAUAAGAGCUACGUGACUUCCAGACGGCAAACUGGUUUCAUUUAUGUGUUUUUCUAAAAUAGGAGCUAGGUCAAGCUAGCCAACGAGCGGCGCAAAAGUUAGGGUCCUCUGAGCCAACGAGCCAUGACCAAGGUCCUCUGAGUGAAAUAUCUCAUGACCAUUUUCGAGUGUUCUUUGGGUUACAUUCCCACCACUCAUCUUUGGACGGCCUAUGUUCAAACCCCCUCUCAGGCAGUGCGAAGUCAGCAGUCAUGGAAGAUCUAACCGCUCUAUUAUAAUUUAUCCCUUUUUGAUUUAUAAUUCUUGGUUUAUUGCAUUUUACAUUUCUUUAAAUAAUUUAAGUUUGAGUGCGAAGAGUCGUUAAUUUAUCGUUUUGUUUGCAGAAUACUUUUAAAUAAUAAAUAGUAGAUAAUAAUAAUAAACAUCAGAGUGGUAUGCACUGAAAUUUCUUAAUUUAUCGAAUAUUUUAAUAUUUUAAAUUCAUUAAUCUAUACGGAUUGUUGAUCUUUUGGGGUUUUCAUCCCCAAUCAUUUAAAAUUCCGCCAAGGGAAUUCCACCCUUAGGUCCUGUGUCACUCUGGGACUGAGGUUCUGUUUCGCCUUCGGGCAAGCAGCAAAUUUGACCGUCUUCUCCAUCGCCUGACUGUGCAGGGCUCAGUCCCAAUGUCUUCGGCUUCUUAUGGAAAGACUAUUUUCAGGGGUGCACAAAUCCCCACCUUUCAUAACUGGCACCCGACGGACCAAGUUCCGGUUCCGGCCCAGUGUUUUCGGCCCGCCUCACAGCGCCCAUGUUUAGAGUAUUUGUCACGUGACACCAUUCCCAACAUCUGAGAUCAACUCUCCUCAUGACAUCAUUCACCGUUAAGGGUAAUUUAAAUAAUUAUAUACACUUUCGAUUUUAUCAACAUAUUUUUUUAUAAGUAGUAGGAUACAGGCGAACCUGGUACUAGUUUUACUGAGCAGUGUAAGUGUUGUUUUUUUUUCCCUAUAUGCUCCGCAUUCAAGCGGGGAAGUAUGUGCUGUUAUUUAGUAAAUUCGACACGAUAUAUUUUAAAUUUUUAUUAUGAUUUUAAUUUUUUUUUGUGUGGAAAUUUGAUCUGCUCUACUAUAGUGUGAUUUUACUUUGUUAGUCUGGUGUACUCCUCUGAGUUAAACCUUGUCUCAGUGCUCUGAAGCCCCUGUCCCAUCGGUGUAUCGGAUAUUUUGCUGGCCUAAUCCCUGACUGGCAGACAGCUUACCAUUUCCCCCGCCUUCAGUCACGCCUCAAGCCUGUAAUAUCAUUUCUCUUCGUGACCCAAACUGCAUAUACAAGCCUGUAGCUUGCAGGCGACCAGUUCUCAGAGACGAGCUGAGAUUGGCCUUUUUCAUCACGUAUUAGUGUUAAGUUCGCUCCUCUGCAGGCACGACGGGACGUAGAUUCCCAGCAGCGUUACAUUUUACCCUCACCCCCCCCCCCUUCUCAGUUCCAAGUAAGACCAAUGACCGGUCGUAACCCCCUGGGCAACAGUGACCGUUCUCAAGGUCUCCUCGCAAAAAACGAGUGCGCCAGAACUGAUCGCAAGCGCUACCUAGCGACCAAGUCGCGAACUUCUCCGCUAGCCUACCCUCUAGGGCGCCAGAGAGCAGCACCUGCUUUCCCUUGAGUUAUAUGGACGCCGUGAGCGAGUCGAUUGUUUUCAACUCAGACCCCUCCGACAGAGUUCUCUACUGUCGCCCAGUGAUGCCAACUUCAAAACUCCUGCCAGAGUUUUUUUUCGCCCGCAUUCGGGCAAGUUCGGAAUCUUUCGGCGGCCCAGACCCCCCUCCACCUGUAAGAGCCGGCGCCCACUUUUAAUUACGAGACGCGGUUUGCCGCGACACAGACCAGCGCGCGUUACGUUUGCAGACAGAUCUCCGGCGAGCUCAGAAGACUCUGGAAGACUUCAUCCGACCGCUAGCGACUAUGUAAUCGUCCUAAAUAAGGGAUGCUAUCCCUCAACUAAAUUCAAGUAGAUUAGUCUGUCUGCAUAGUGUUAGUAAUUUUUUUGUUUUGAAAUUUUCCCUUUUAAUUUUUUUUAACUAUGAAGAAAUCAUCCGCGCCCAGCCGCGCAAAUCGCGAGCUACGGACCAUGGCUGACUCCGCGAUGGCAGCUAGAAGGCAACUCCCCUGUUUUGUCAGGGGUUCGACCUCCCAGCGAUGCACAUAUUCAGCUAGAUUCGAGAUCCAGCAACUACUGGUGGACGAAUUGUCCAUCAGUAUGUUUUUCGGCAGUCCGAGAUCCACCCAUUAGAAGAAGCAGCUUCCUUCCAUUCUACAGUUCGGCAUUUUUAACACCACACCUGGAAGACUCGGGUGAUAUGGUUUCUAUUUCUAUUCCCCCCCUUUUUUAAAGACAAACCAGCGAUAAGUGACUAUCCACUUAAUCCACUGAUAUGGUAAACUAAUCAGCGACAAAUUUAAUGUAGUAGAACCUUGCAAGUUGUAAUAAUGUAUCAAUACAAUGUACUUUGUUUUAAAUAAUCGCGGGCCGGCCCCUUUUCGUUUUCUUUUGUUUUUUUUAAAUCUUUGAAACUUGUUAAAACCUUUUGUAUGUAAAGUAAUGGAAACAAGAUAAUUCAUCAGGGCAAAUAAAACAGGGAAACUAUAGAUCAAGAUAAUCGUGUAGUUUUUAUUUAUUGAUUUUAACGAUCCACCAACUUCCUCCUUGCUUGUUACAGGAAGUUCCUAAAUUUUGUUUGUUCCCCACCUCGUGCCGCCUCUGGUAAAUCAAUUUAUUUAACUUAUUUUUUUUAUCCAGCAAGUUUCCAAGGCUCUUUUUAAUUAAUUCAAAAUAAUUCAAUUUUG